CUGUAGACCAGGCUGGCCUCGAACUCACAGAGAUCCGCCUGGCUCUGCCUCCCAAGUGCUGGGAUUAAAGGCGUACGCCACAACCGCCCGGUGUGGCAUCAUCUCUUCAUCUGUGUUUUGGUUGGUCUUUGAGCAGCUCUGAGAGGUCAUCUUGGAGAGACUAAGCGCUCUCUUAGGCUCAUUGAGAACUGGCUGUGAACUCUAGGCAAUUCAUAAGUACAUUGCAUUGCUCUUUGCAAAUCCAGGGUCUGCCCAAUACCCUAGAUGAUACCUCCACCAAGAUCCUGAUCCUCAAAAGCAUGAUGCUCCACUCCCUUUCCUGGGCUGUCCCAUUUACCCUGUUUGCAUCUCUCUGCAUCUGAACACCAUUGUAUAUUGUUUCUCUUUCUUCUGGAAAUUGGUGAGACAGUACACACCAAAAGUAGUUAAACAUUUUACAGUGGUGAGAUACCAUCCAUCUGCAAGUAGAACCUUUGUGUGAAAGUCUGGACUUGAAGGCUACAUUUUGGAAAAGUUGCCCACUGAGGGACAGUGACUUGUCCCCAGCCCUGCUGAGAGGUAGUGGCAUAGAUUCUGAAGGUAGAACUUCGGGAAACAAUGUGAAGAAGAAAACACUAAACUGGGUGGUACAUGACUGUAUCCUCAAUACUUAGUACUCCACAGCAGGAUGAUCAGUUUCGGGCCAGCUUGCGUUAUGCAUUGAGAAACAAUGUCAGACCAAAAGAACACUACCACCACAAAUCACUAGUCAUACUGGAUAGCAGAGUUAAUGCACCCACUGUAUACAAGUGGGAUAAGAAAACCCAAAGGCCUCCAAUCUGUAUCUAUCCUCGACUGCCCAAGGAUGAGGAUGUCAGAAUAAAGUGUCUCUCAAGUCUGUGAGAACUAGAGGUAAUGAGAUUGGCAUGGAAUCCAAGUGGAUGGGACAGCUCAGGUUGGAAGCCAGGAAUUACCUUCAUUCAUUUGUUUAUUCCAUCAUUCCUUCACGGCAUGUGCCAGACAUCAAGGACACAAAAGUCAGCAACCCAACAUACUGACCCACCUGCAGCUGGCAUUCUGCUGGGUAAUUAGACAAUAAGGUGAAAUAAAGUAAAUAAAUCAUCAAAUCUGUAGGUGGCACCAGAGGAGGUACCUGCUGGGGAGUGUUCACAGGGUGUGGCUGCCAUGUUCAUUGGGACCAUUGGGCAGUUGUAUUUGCAGUAGUUUGCAUGUGAAGUUUAGGUCAAAAUUGGUAAGUUCAUUUAUAGACCUGCAAGUUUACUAUUUCAAGUUGAUGAGGUUGUUAUUUUCUUGGUCCUGGAGAUUAAACCUAGAGCCUCCUGAUUACUUAGGCAAGCGCUCUACCUCAAUUAUUCCCCUGGUUCCUGACCUGUUUUGGGUGACUUUUAUUCUGAGAUAGGGUCUCCUUAAAUUGCUUAAGUUGGCCUUGUGAUCCUCUUAAGAGGAAGAGUAGCUUCCUGUAUAAUAGCUGGGAGUACAGGCCCAGGGUUACCAAACCCAUCAGACUGCUGCUGGGAAAAAGCCUGGAAGAGACGUAAGUUCUUGGUUCCCUUGUAUUCUGGUACUUACGGUUCAGGCUCACAGGUGCCAUUCCCACUGCCUUUAUGUGCGCGUGCGCGAGAGUCAGAACGGCUUUCUCAGACUGCGUGUAGCCGCGGCUGGAGCGCAGUACGGCUAGCGGUUGGAUGGCGCGGGGCGGAGCGGGGCGGGCAGCAGCCCUGGGCCUGGCGCUGCGGCUGCUGCUUUUGCUUGGGCUAGGCCUAGAGGCUGCUCCGGCCCCGGCCCCGGCCCCGACCCAAGUCCAGGUCUCUGGGCUGGUCACCUGGCACCUUCCUGCAGCAGGCCCCCGAGCUGGCUCAUGCCCGACAGACAACUUCCAGUGUAUUACCAAUGGCUACUGUGUGCCCCUCUCCUGGCGCUGUGAUGGGGACCCAGACUGCUCUGAUAGCAGUGAUGAGGAGGAGUGUAGGAUUGAGCCAUGUGCUCAGAAAGGGCAGUGCCAACCACUGGCUACCCUUCCUUGCUCCUGUGACAACAUCAGUGGUUGCCCUGCUGGCUCUGACAAGAACCUUCUCAACUGCAGCCGCCAGCCCUGUCAGGAGGGUGAGCUGCGUUGCAUGUUGGGCGAUGUCUGUAUCCCACACACAUGGCACUGUGAUGGCCACCCAGACUGUCCUGACUCCAGUGAUGAGCUCAGCUGUGACACCAACAUAGAAACUGACAAGAUCUUCCAAGAGGAGAAUGCCACAACUACAAGGACUCCUUUGACCCUGGAGAAUGAGACCUCUUUCAGGAAUGCAACAGUUGCCUCUGCUGGGAACCCUUCCCGAAACCCAAAUGCCUAUGGGGUUAUUGCAGCUGCUGGAUUCCCUAAAGAUCGCUUUGCCAACAAACAGCAGGAAGCAAUUUUAAGAAAACGACACCCACAUUCCCAAGAGACAUGUUGGCUCCUGGCAGCACCAAUCUACUUCAGAGAAGAUAUGGACAUUGAAGAAAAUUCAUAUGGAGCUAACUUUCAUUGUGGCCAAUAUUAGCCACUGGGCAAUAAAGUGCCCUUGUAUCAACUGCUGACAGUAUGCUAUCCAAAAUGGAUAAACAGGACACAAAAUAAAGGACUACAGAUCCUUACAAAACAAGUGAGGUUGUAGCUUUAACAACAGGUGUCCUCUGAGACCAGGACAAUAUGGCACCAUCACUGAAGUGGCUUUGCAAUCUGGAAAAGGUGAAUGAAAGCAUCUAGCUAAGGAAUCUGAAGACCACUGGACAAAUGAGACAUCUUGAGAAAGAGGACAAAUCAUCUAGAAAACUUGUCCCAGGAAAGAUUUUCUACAGUGAACAAUGACCACUUCUAAUGCAAUCUCUGAAGUCUCAAAAAACAUGUUGGGACCCCACCAUGAUGAUUCCACCAGGAUGAUGAUAAUACCACUAAGCUGAUAAACACCACUCAAAGAUUGGCUUUGGACUACAAACUGCUCAGGACAAUUUCGAGAUGGCUAGCUGAGGUGAUCCUCACAGAUUACAUGAGCAAGGACUUGAAACAAGUCCUGCAUCUUCCCCUUAUUCAGAGACUAGACAACAAGUGAUAAUAGCUACCUCUCCCAUGAUUGACAGUUAGCCCAAAAUUUUUCUUUUCAGGAUCCCCUAAAGAUGCCUUCACCUUCAGACAUCAGGAAGUAAUUUUAAGAACACAAUGCUCACAUUCCCAAGAGGUGGGGUGGGUGUGGCUUUUGGUCCUUCAAUGAGUUAUGGAUAAUUGUCAUUGUUUAGGAUGGUUGGUUACAAGCUGAUAUUGUUAAUGGUCAGGAAAAAGGCUAAACAAAGGAGAUUAGAUUUAAGAUUCUUGUUUGAAAAAAAAGAAAAGAAAAAAAGAGGAUAGAGGUAUGGUAAAAUAAAAGGUAGAUCAUUGAAUCUACUCUGAAAAGAAAGAUAUGGAAAUGAUGGAUAAAGGGUAGAUGAUUGAAUCUACUCUGAAAAGAAGAAAGAGAAUAUGGAUGUAAGAUAAAAAAAGGUAGAUUAUUGAAUCUACUUUUAAAAAGUAACUACUAGUUUUAAAUAUUGUACAUUGGAUUAGAUUUUUAUAUAUUGUAUACAAAUUUUAUAUAUUGAUACAAAUUUGAGAUUAAUUUUGUUAGAAAAUACUGUACAUAUAUUUAUAAUCUUUUUCAAGGUAUUGUACCUAUACAGCUCAUUUAACAAUGUAAUGCAAAUUCCUAGUCCUUGAAAGUUAUUAUUACCAACUAAUUAGAAAAAAGAAAUGCAAGUAAUUAUUUAGUUACCUAUUACAAUUGAAUUUGUAGUCAUAUUAGGUAUGUUUUCAAGGUCAAACAGAAAUAUAUUUUAGAUAGACAGGUCAUCUUAAAACACUUCAGAGGUCUACAGAAUCUGGCAUUUAAGAUAUUUUAAUAACAUAGAUUCUCUUUUUAUGACUAUGAGAUAUGUCUGCUCCUGGCAGCACCAAUCUACUUCAGAGAAGAUGAUGGGCAUUGAAGGAACUUCAUAUGGAAUUUACUUUCUUUGUGGCAAAAGUUAGCUGCUGGGCAGGAAAGUGCCCUUGCACUGACUGCUGACAGUAUGCUGUUCAAAAUGGACAAGCAUGACACAAAAGGACUGCUGAUCCUUGCCAAGACAAGGUUGGAAGGCUCUUUAGAAAAUCCUGCUUCACAGAUGAGUCUGUCAGAUAUGCUAAGCCUGUAGGCCAAAGAAUGGAUGCCCCAACAUUGCAGAGGAACCUUGGGUGACUGUCUAGGCAGCUGGAUGUUUCUGUCAUAACUCACAUGUUUUGGAAAUCGCUUGUUUGCACUUCCUGUUUAACUAGGUAAUAUUAUUUCCUUCUUGCAUCUCUGAGGGAGUUGAAGAUUAUAUAGUUCUAGUUCUAUUUUUCCUUGUUAACAAUUUUAGGAAAGAAACUAAAGAGGUGUAAAGUGUAUAAAUUUGAAAGACAUCAAAAGAUAAUUCUGGUAAUGCAAAUUAGGAUAGAAGGUAAAUUAGAUACAAUCCUUUGGAUUCACAAAGAUAGGAUAGAUAAUGGAAUAUUUUCUCUGAAUUUGUCAAAUGCAAAUAGACUAGACAUUUAUUGCCUGUGUAUAUUGUAUAUAGUUAUUGUACUUAUUGUAUAUGGUUUUUCCUAUAUUAGUUAUAACUUUUUAAAAUUUUGAACAAAAAAGGAGAAAUGAGGUGAUAUUUUAUUUGUGCUCUAAUAAAUAAAGCUUUCUUGGAAAUCAGAGGAAAAAGCCAGCCACUAUAUUAAACAUAGAAGUCAGGCAGUGGUAGCGCACACCUUUAAUCCUAGCAUUCGGGAGGCAGAGAUUCAUUCAGAUCUCUGUGAAUUCAAGGCCACACUAGGAACAGAGCCAGGUAUGGUGGCACAUACCUUUAAUUCCCAGCACUAGUUAACCAUAGAGGUCUGGAGGUCUGUACAGACAGACAGGAAGUGAUAGAGGUGGACAGAAAGAGGAAGUGAUGUAGCUGGGUGGAGAGAGGAAGUGAGAUGGCAGGGCACAGAAAGGAUAUAGGUGUGGGUAUACAAGAAGUAGCUCUCUCUGGAGGCUGAGGAGUUGGUAAGGUGAAGUUGGCUGUGGCUUGUCCUAUUCCUCUGAUCUUUCAGUUU